CAUUCGAGUGGCGGACGGGUGAGUAACGCGUGGGUAACCUGCCUUACACAGGGGGAUAACACCUGGAAACAGGUGCUAAUACCGCAUAAGCGCACAGGGCCGCAUGGCCCGGUGUGAAAAACUCCGGUGGUGUAAGAUGGACCCGCGUCUGAUUAGCUUGUUGGCGGGGUAGGGGCCCACCAAGGCGACGAUCAGUAGCCGGCCUGAGAGGGUGGACGGCCACAUUGGGACUGAGACACGGCCUAAACUCCUACGGAAGGCAGCAG
rnacentral:rRNA from 1 species